rnacentral:rRNA from 1 species
UACGUAGGGUGCGAGCGUUAAUCGGAAUUACUGGGCGUAAGGCGUGCGCAGGCGGUUCGUUGUGUCGGCGGUGAAAGCCCCGGGCUUAACCUGGGAAUGGCCGUCGAAACUGGCGAACUGGAGUGUGGCAGAGGGGGGUGGAAUUCCGCGUGUAGCAGUGAAAUGCGUAGAGAUGCGGAGGAACACCGAUGGCGAAGGCAGCCCCCCUGGGCUGACACUGACGCUCAGGCACGAAAGCGUGGGGAGCAAACAGG